rnacentral:rRNA from 1 species
AAACUUUCAACAAUGGAUCUCUUGGCUCUCGCAUCGGUGAAGAACGCAGCGAAUUGCGAUAAGUAGUGUGAAUUGCAGAAUUCUGUGAAUCAUCGAAUCUUUGAACGCAUAUUGCGCUCUCUGGUAUUCCGGAGAGCAUGCCUGUUUGAGGGUAA